UUUUUCUUUUUUUUUUUUUUUUUAAGAUUUGAUUUAUUUAUUAGAGAGAAAGCAUGAGCAGGGGCAGGGGCAGAGGGAGAGGGAGAAGCAGACUCCCCACUGAGUGGGAAGCCUGACAUGGGGCUCAAUCCCAGGACCCCAGGAUCAAGACCUGAGCUGAAGUUAGAUGCUUAGCUUACUGAGCAACCCAGGCGCUCCCUUCUUCAUCUUUUUUUUUUUUUUUAAGAUUUUAUUUAGUCACAAGAGACACAGAGAGAGAGACAGAGGCAGAGGGAGAAGCAGGCUCCAUGCAGGGAGCCCAAUGUGGGACUCGGUCGGGGGACUCCAGGAUCACACCCCGGGCUGAAGGCGGCACUAAACCACUGAGCCACCCAGGGAUUGCUCCCCCCCCCGCCCCACUUCAUUUUUAAAGGACAGCUUUGCUGGGUCUAGAAUUCCUAUUUGACAGUUUUUUAUUUCAAUAUUUUAAGUGGAUCAUCCCAUUCUCUCCUGGCUUAGAAAGUUUCUGUUGAGAAAGUCACCCAUAAUCUUAUGGGAGUUUCCUUGUAUUUAACCUUUUUCUUCUCUUGCUGCUUUCAAAAUUUUUGUCCUUGAUUUUUGACCAUUUAAUAAUAAUGUGUCUCCGUGGAGCUCUAUUGAGGCUCAGCCUAUUUGGAUUCAUUGGGUCUCAUGGAUCUGAAUAUCCAUUUCUUUUCCAAGGUUUGGGAAGUUUUUAGCCAUUAUUGCUUUAAAUAUAUUUUCUAUCCCUUUCUUUUCUUCUGGUCUUAUCAUGGAUGUAUGAAUUGUAUCCCAUAAUUCUCACAGGUUUUCUUCCCUCUUUUUUCUUCUUGUUCCUCUAUGUGGACAGUUUUAAAUAUCCUAUCUUCUAGGUCACUGAUUUUUUUCUUUUGAAUGGUUGAGCAUGCUGCUGAAGUUCUCUAUUGAAUUAUGCACUCCAAACAUUGUAUUUUUCAGCCUAGGAUUUCUGUUUUUUUUUUUUUUUUUUCUUUGUUGAACUUGUUUUGUUCAUGCACUGUUUUCCUAGUUUUGUUCAGUUGUCCUUGUGUUCUUGUAGUUGAUUAAACUGCUGUAAGAGUAUUAUUCUCAAUACUUUUUUCUAAAGUAGGCUCCAUGCUGGGCUUGAACUCAUGACCCUGAGAUCAAGACCUGAGCAGAGAUCCAGAGUCAGACACUUAACCAACUGAACCACCCAGGUGCAUCUAUUCUGAAUUCUUUGAUCUCCAUUUGCUUAUGAUUAAUUAUUAGAGUUUCACUAGUUUUCUUUGGUGUUGUCAUACCUGAUUUUUUGUGAUCUUUGAUUUUGUUUGUUGGUUUUUGUGCAUUUAAGGAAGUUGUUUUAUUUUCUAGACUUUAUGGGUUCACUUUGGUAGAAAUAGUUCUUUACUAGUCCACUUGACUUGGUGUUCUGAAUGGUCAUCUGGUAAUGCCAUCGGUCCAAUAGGGCUUAUCAUUGUCUGUUUUGGGACAAGAUCAUUGUCCAUGCUUUGAGGUCAAAGGACAAAGGGAUGCUGCUUGCUGAGAACAGUUGGAUAGGACUGCUGGUUUGGUUCACUGCUAAAGAAGCUAUAGGAUGGAUUCUGUGGUUGACUGUGUUCUCCAAUCAGGCUUUCUAGACGAUUGGGACUAGGAACUACACUCAGCAGCAGGUGUCGUUGAGUUAGCUUCAGUGUCCUUUCAGGGCAGCAGAAUGGACCCCAAGACCUGCACCACUCACUGGGGAGACAAAUCAGGCUAGGCUGGACCCUGAAUUUCCUGGACAGACAGGGCCACCAGUUUUGCUAUGCAGGUGGAGAAAGCCCCAAUCUGUGCUUUCUUUUCAUGUGCCACUGUAGUGUGGGGCUGUAGGAUGGGCUCUGUAGCUUCCAGGUACUCCACUCAAUCCUCUGGUUGGGGGUUGUGGGGUGGUGGUGCAGGCUGUAACAGCAGCAGCUGGGAUAGGAAUUAGUUUCCUUGUCCAGAUAGGACCCCGUACAUGCCCCAAGGCUGGUAAUGUUCUUGUUUGGGAAUCAAAUCCGACAGACCUGCAUGGUAAGCUCUCUGGACAGAUGUGGACACUGUUGUUUCUGAGCAUGCCGAGCUGCUGAUCAGGUUCUUCACUCAAAUGUUAAGUCGUGGAUUGAGCUCCAGAGAUUCCCAGGUGCUAAGGCCAGGCUUCCUGGUCAGGCAGGGCUGGGAGCUGUGUUUAGCAGUGGGUGAGGCUAUGAAUUAGCUCUGGAAGAGCAGGAGCUCUUCAGCUGGAGAGCCGGCUCCAGGCGGUAUCCCAGAUGGUGCUUUUUGAUCAGGAGAGGCUAAGAGCUAUACUCAGUAGUGGGUGAGUGGGUAAACUAGCCUCUACCUGAACAGAGCAGCAGAGCUGCCUCCAAGUAGCCUCCCAGGCUUUCUGGUCGUGCAGGGCUGGGAAUCACACUUAUCAGUGAGUAGGGUUAUGAAUCGGGUCCCCUUACUGAGCAGAGUGGGGUAAUUGGCUCCAAGGCUGGCAAGGCUCUUUGUUGCUGACCUGGGCCUCACAUCUCUUGGCAGAACGUUACCACUGGCUUUGCUGUACAGAUGAUCAGAUCUGCCUGCUAGACUCUACACGUGAGCGUUUCCGUACCGUGCAACUCUCAGAUCUUCUGGUUGGGCAGGGCUGGGAGCUACGAUGAACGGUGGUAGGGUUCUGACUCAGCAUCCCUGUCCCUGACGGUGGGGGGGCCAUGGUGGGAGGUGGGGGCAGACCAGGCUCUAGGGCUGGAAAGGCUCUUUGAGCUCCUAAAUUAGGCAAACCUGCACCCUGCCAAGUUCUCUGUCAGACCGUACAAUUCUCUUUGGCUUUGCAGAUGAACAUCGAUGCUGUUUGUGACUUUGACUUGGGUGCUGUAAGUAGGAUGUUGGGCUGCCAAGAUCCGAGUGCUGGUUGUUGCAAGUCUCUCCCUCCUUCUCUGUCACAAUCUGAUUCCUAGUGGUCAAGCCCUGCAGAUUCCCCAGAGAUUCCUUUGGGGCAAGACUGGAGUGCGGACUCCAAGAAGGGACUCAAUGCUAGGGUAGCUGGAUGUCCGACCCCGGGCUCUUAACCUGUUGGAGAAGCCACAGGCUUAGGGGAGACUUCUUGCUGUGCUGAUCUGGGGGAGAGGCAGUGUGGUCAGUGUAGCCAUUCUCUUUACCCUUGUAAUGUGGUUUGUCCCAGUACUUCUGGUGCAGGGGGAGACUCCAGUCUCAGCCCUGCGUUCUAGGAUUUUCUCAUUGGUGUCUUGUCAGUGUAUAGUUUUUGUCCUUGUGAGAGGGUGUGAAGUUGGGAAUGAUCUAUGUCAUCAACUUAGCCAUGCUUCAGUGUGUGCUGCUUUAAGCUGGUAAGUCUGCAGUCAUUUGUCAUUGCACUAACAGGACACUAGCACGUGCAUCAUGAUAAGUUACCAAAUACAUCACUUCUUUCAAAGCCUGUCCAUGUUUGGUCACUGCACAUUUGUCAUUGAUUUUAGGCACAGACAGUAAAACACUGGCAGUACUCUUUGUUUCCCAGUGUUAAAUUCAUGUGACAUUCUACAAAAAUGGGUAAUCAUAAGAGAAAAUUGGCUAAUUAAGAUGAAAGUGCAGCAGAAAAAUGAAAAAUGAGGACACAAAGUGAAAUUCAAAUCAAACAUAGAGUUAUAGAAGAAAUAGCUGACCAGAAUAUGCUGAUACUGAUGCUCUCCAAGACAUUUUAAGAUGUGCAACUUGAAAAAUGUAGUGAAGGCAAAAUUAUCAAUAUAAGUGAGGAAAAUGGUUGUGACAAAAGGUAUGGAGUUGUCCCAGAGGAAGUGAGGACAGCAAAAAACAUCAUGAUUUGUUAACCUAUAAAUUUAUUGUAAUUUCAUUGAAAUUUUCUAGAGGAUUUUUUUUUUAGAUAGGUAAUUUUCUAAAACUUACCCAGAGAAGUAAUGCCUAUCAAACUUGAAAAGGAUCAAACAUAUCUAUCAGAUAUUAGGACAGAUUAUAAAGAUAAUUUAACAGUUUGAUAUGGACAUAGUAAUAGACAACUAAUUUCUAGGGCAGACUAAAGAAUCUAGAAAACAGACACAUAUAUAGGAAAUUAAGAUGUCACUUCAAACUAGUGGUAAAAGAAUGUCAUCCACAAAAGGGGUAUGGUGACGUUAUCCAUUUGUUAGAGCAUCAAGUUAGAUCCCUAUUUCAAAACUCCAGAUGGAUUAAAAGCCUAAAUGUAAAAAUAAAACUGUGAAAUUAAAGAGGUUAUAAGUUAUUAGUUUAUAGACAUAGAGUUUAAAAACAAAGUUUAAAAGUCAUAAAGCUAAACGAUUAUAAAAUUAGAUUACAUUAAAAGGAAAUCCUCAGUAUGAAAAAAGGGAUGACUGACAUCUAAGACACAGAACAGUCUAAUCCAGGGCCAGGGCAUGAGAACCCAAAAGGUAUCCAAAGCCUAGAUGGGGCUGAAUUAGCAAGUGAGGACCACAGGGCCCCACUCCAAACGGGAAGCCACUAUUCACUAACCUCUUCCCAGAUCAGUGACAGGUGCCCACAUGUGUGGAACAGACCAGCCACUACUGUGGAGUGAAUGACAGGACUCACGGGGAAACACAAGAACCGCCACCCCUCCUCCCUUCCCAUGAGGUCAGAUGAGCCUUCCUCUAAACCAGGAAGCCAGUCUUGCUAGAAGGAAAAGGGAGAGAUUAUUAACUGAAUAGGCUUUAGGAAGACUUAAGGAAAAAUCAGUUAUAGAAAAUAAAUAGGCUACAUUAACUUGCAGAGUUGUAAUAAAAACGAAUAAUAGAUAAGUGACCUAUAAUAUAGAGCCUGACUCCAUCUUUUGCUGUUUGCUGAAAAGUUUUAAGUCUUCCUCUGUUUCCCCCUGCCGCAUAUCUGGGUAAGCUGAGAAGCAAGCCUGGGUGCUCCCCUCUUUGCUGUGCAAAUGCCUUCCUGCAAACCCCAGCCCCACUCUAACACAUAAAAACCACAAGCUAGUCUUUUUUUCUUGUUCUCUGAAGCCAUGUUUUACCAGUUUGGGAGCACGGAUCUCCCCAGAAAGCUUCUUUUCAAAACCUCUCAAAGUAUGUGUGGUGGCAUCAGUUUCAACAUACAAACGAAAUGUUGAGUAGGGCAUCCAGUCUUCUGUAGGAUGGCCAUACCUGAACUCUUCAGAGAAUGUAGUCAAAAAUUACAAACAAGUCACAGAUGGUGGAAUAAGUAUGUCUAAUUAAACAUAAAAAGGUACUCCAUUUCACUGAUUAGAGAAGUUUCCAUAAAAACAGAUGCCAUUUUCACCUUUUAGAUUGUGAAAAAAAAAAAAAA
rnacentral:lncRNA from 1 species